UGCGACAGUGUUGGGAGGUGUGCUGUCAAGUUACCUGGACGGCCGCCGCCCACCUGCACCUGCCGCUGUCACUGUGCCCGGAUCCCACUGGCGCCUGACAUCGGCGGAAGGGACCGCUGAAAGAAAAGAGGGAGAGGAGUGGCUGGUGGUUUGGACUGUGACUUCCUGCAUCCCGCACGUCUAGAGAUCAGGACUGGCACUGUGGUGCAGCAGGUUAAGCCGUCUCCUGCAAAGCCAGCAUCGCAUAUCGAAUUUGAGUCCCAGCUGUUCCACUUCUGAUCCGGCUCCCUGCUAAUGCACCUGGGAAAGCAGCAGACAGCGGGCCAAGUCCUUGGACCCCUGCAGCCACAUGGGAAACCCAGAUGGAGGUCCAGGCUCCUGGCUUCAGCCUGGCCCAGUCCUCCAGCUUAGGUGGCAAUGACUGAACGUGAGUUACAGGGCACAGGGCACUUGGGAGAGCGUCAUCUGCUCUCAGCCACUUCUACCUGGGCGCCUUCCUCUUCCCUCCUCCUCCCCCCCGCACAGGCUGUCCCUGUGACAUCACAGCAUCCCUGGCACCACACAGGGAGCCAGCACAGAGCAGGUGCCAGGGCACGUGCCAGCUCCACCCGAGUUGGAGAGCUGCGGCCACGUGCACUCCUUGGGAGUGGGAGUAAGGGGACAAGAGGUCACCGACCUCCCCCAGUCCAGGGACAGAGGCAGGGCUGACGUGAGCAAGUCGGCCGUGCCUGCGGGAACUGUGCUUCAGAGGGGCUCUCAGAGAGACGCUCUUUGUUAUCCUGGCUCUAGUUCAAGUCUGGAAGCGGACUUGGCUGUGCACACAGUGACGAAUCUCAUUGCUGGACGCAGGCGUCACACAGGCGGGACCCGGUCCCUCACUGGGGGUGCACGUCUGCCGUUCUCCCAGGAAGUGCGAGUCGGUGCCCACGCCCAGGCCCUGCUCCCCGGGCACAGCAGCAAAGGCUCAGCGCUGAAGCCAAGGAGCGGGUGGAGAGCAAGUGAGGCCGGCGGCAUGGGGCCGGCAGUGAGGAAGCAGGACCGAGACACCACGGCUCCAUCCCCGGCAAAGCCAUCCACGAGUGCCCCCGGCGGAGCCCACCCUGCAGAGGGCGGAUGCCAGCCAUCCUCAGGGUGGCUCCUGGGAGCUCAGAGACAGAGAGAGAGAACCUUCACCCACGGGUUCACCACGUGUCCACAGUGGUCCCCCCUCAGCUAGGGCUGAAGCCUGGAGCAGACCUCUGUGUCCUGAUACAGGGUUGACUGCAGUGGCCAUCGCUGUGGCGUAGUGGGUAGAGCCACUGCCUGCAGUGCUGGCAUCCCACAUCAGCACCGGUUCAAGUCCCAGCUGCUCUACUUCUGAUCCCACUCUCUGCUGUGGCCCGGGAAAGCAGUAGAAGAGGCCUAAGUCCUUGGGCCCCUACACCUGCAUGAGAGACCUGGAGGAAGCUCCAGGCUCCUGGGUUUGGAUCAGCGCAGCUCAGGCGGUUGCGGCCAACUGGGGAGUGAACCAGCAGAUGGAAGACCUCUCUCUCUGCCUCUCCUCUCCCUGUGUAACUCUGACUUUCAAAUAAAUAAAUAAAUCUUAAUCCUCCACCUAGCGGCACCGGCACACCGGGUUCUAGUACCGGUCGGGGCGCCAGAUUCUGUCCCGGUGGUCCCUCUUCCAGGCCAGCUCUCUGCUGUGGCCCGGGAGUGCAGUGGAGGAUGGCCCAGGUACUUGGGCUCUGCACCCGCAUGGGAGACCAGGAGAAGCACCUGGCUCCUGACUUCGGAUCAGCGCGGUGCGCUGGCUGCAGCGGCCAUUGGAGGGUGAACCAACGGCAAAAAGGAAGACCUUUCUCUCUCUCUCUUUCUCUCUCUCUCUCUCACUAUCCACUCUGCCUGUCAAAAAAUAAAUAAAUAAAUCUUAAAAAAUAAAGUUGAUUGCAACCUGUUAACUUGGUAUGAUAACUCCUUCUUGGGACCAGGCCACGUUAGA